UGGGGAAUAUUGCGCAAUGGGGGGGAACCCGUGACGCAGCAAUGCCGCGUGCGGGAUGACGGCCCUCGGGUUGUAAACCGCUUUCAGCAGGGAAGAUAAUGACGGUACCUGCACAAGAAGCCCCGGCUAACUACGUGCC
rnacentral:rRNA from 1 species